UGUAUAAAAGGUUUUAAUUAUAUUGAUUAUACAAUAAGAAUCUGGAUUAAAAGUAUUUCUUGUCACCUCAAAGUAUCUGGAUUAAAUGAUUUAUCCCACUUUAAACAAUUGUAUUAAGAAAAAAGUCCUUCACAGGAGCAACCCCUCGAUUUCAGUUGAUUACAGAUGUGGUCAAGUUGACAACCAAGAAUAGCAUCACACUAAAUUUGAGGCCAGCCUAGGUAACAGAGUGGGUGAGGCCGGGUCUUAAAAGACUUAACAAACAAGCUGAACAAAGUAGUGCACACUCCUUCAAUCCCAGCACUCAGGAGGCAGAAGCAGGUACAUCUCUGUGAGUUCAAGGCCAGCCUGGUCUACAGAAUGAGUUCCAAGCUAACCAAGCUAUAUGGUGAGACCAGGUCUCAUUAAAAUACAUACAUACAUACAUGCAUGCAUACAUACAUACAUACAUACAUACAUAGACACAAACCCCUAACAAACAGUUAGGUGCACACCAUGAAUCUCAGCAAUCAGAAGGCAGGAACAGGUGGUUCUCUUGCGUUUGAGAACAACAGCCUGGGCUAUGGGCCAGCUGGGAAUACAUAGUGAGUCCCUGUCUCAACAAACAAACAAACUUCUAACAAGUGAAGCAAAACACAACAACAAUUCACAGCCUUUCUGGAGCUCCUGUUGUGUAGCAUUUUUAUUAUGUUACAGAACUUCAAGUAACCUGACCUUUGAAGGAUUCUCUGAGUUCACUGAGAAGCCUUUCCAUUCUGUGAACCAAGCACAUUCCUUUAUGACCACAGGCACGCACUUUUCAUUGGAUUUAUAACAAUCACCACAUUGGCAUGCAGGUGAAGGAGAACUCAAGUUUGCUUUUCCCAUCACACCUCUAGUUACCUCAGGGAACCCCACUUCACUGGAAAAGGCAUAAGGACGCUUUCUGCUGUGCCGUGCACGACCACAUCUUACCCAGCAUCCUGCAGGAAUCUGUGUUCUGCAGAACACUCCAGGGCUCUGGCCACUGGAGUGCACUCCAGCUCUGCCCUGCCUUCUGGACUGCAGCACGGUUGCUGUGAAGCACUGUCAACAGGGUUGCAUCAUAGACUGCAGACAAUGGAUGGAUAGCAUCCAGAAGACUCAAGUUGAGUUCUUCGGCCAACAGUUACAGCUGGUGAUACACAACCUGCUGUGCUGCUGAGGCUGAAGCAGGAAGAAAUGUGUGAAGCUACCUCAGAACAUGGUUUCUUGUGUAGCCCUAGCUGUCUUAAAACUCUCUCUGUAAGCCAGGAUGGCCUUGAACUUUGAGAUCUGCCUUCCUCUGCCUCCCGACUGCUGGGAUUAAAGGUGUACACCACCUUUAAUAAAUAAAUCUUUAAAAAAAAAAGCCUGGUACUAUGCUAAAUAUGAUAUACACAUAGUUCCAUUUAAUGCAUACAUAGGAGGGUGGCUGUUGUUUCUAAUUUUCUAUUUAGUAUCUUGUGGGAGUGCUCAUAUAGAUGUGGGUGUACAUGUAUGGACAUGUGUAUAUAUGUAUGUAUGCACACAUGCGUGCUGAUGUCAAGUAUCUUUCCUUAGUUGCUCUCCACCUUUAUUUUUCAAGACAGCAUGAUCGCUUUCAGAUACCACUGGUUCAGCAACGCUGGCUGAACAUCAGCUUCAGAGAUCUAUUGUCUUUCCCUCACCUAGGUGACAGUCAUGUUAUGCAACACCGAUUUUCAUGCAGGUGCUGGAUACUGGAACUUGGAUAGACCUGCUUUCAUGGAAGGCACAUUAUCAACAGAGCCUUCUGGCCUCCCCAAUGUAAUAUUGCCAUACAGUAACAAUACUGAGAAUAACAACACAAAUUUAAAAUCACUUUGGAGAGAGAGCUCAGUGGUUAAGAGUACCUUGCUGUCCUCUUCAGAAAACCCAAGUGUGAGUCUCAGCACCUAUGUCUUCGCUCACAACUGUAACUCUACUCCCAGAGGAUCUGAAGCACUCUCGGGUCUCCAUGAAUACUGCUCACACAGUACACAGAUAUACAUGCAGGUGAAGCAUCCAUAUACAUGAAAAUAUAUAAAAUGUUAAAAAAGUAUUAAACUAAAACAUUAAGGGGGGUGGGGAGAUAGCAAGUCAGCAAAAUUCUCAAUAUACGAGCAGAUGAUUUGAGGUAGGAGCCCCAGCACUCACGUGAAGACUCCUGUGUCAGCAAGGGUCUGUAAGCAGGUUUGAGAAGCAGGGAGGUGCUGGAUCUCACUGGCUAUGAGAGGCCCUGUCUCAAUAAUCAUAAUAAAGCAACAAACGAAGACUCUCAAUAUCAACCUCUGGCCAACACUUGUUAUAUGUGCAAGAGCAUGCUCAAGAACAUACACUACAACACACACACACACACACACACAGAGAGAGAGAGAGGGAGGGAAAUCAUACACCAUUUUCAAGUUGGUUUCACUGCAGAAAUGCAAGGAAGUUUCAACAUACAUAAAUCAACCAAUCAGUGUACUACAACAUAUACACAGACUCAAGGACAGAAAUAACAUGUUCACAUCAACAGAUGCAGAAAAAGCCUCUGACAAAAUUAACAUCCCUUCAUGAUAAAAUCCCUGAGGAAACUAGAAAUAGAUGGAACGUAUAGCAACACAAUAAAGGCUGCAUAAAUCCGAAACACAUUAUAUGAAAUGGGGGGAUUAGAAGGCAUUUUUCUUAAAGUCAGGAAUGAGACAAAGGUGCCCACUCCUAUCUUAUUCGAUGUAGUGCUUAAAGUCCUUACCUGCACAAUGAGAGAAAUAAAGGGGAUACAGAGAGGACAAAAGGUCAAAGUAUUCCCUAUUUGUAGAUGUCAUGACUUUAUACUUAAAAUUCUAAAGACCCCACCAGUGAACACACACACACAUACACACACACACACUGAACUUGCUGAGAAGGAAAUCAGAAAAAAAAAUUCCAGUCACAAUAGCUUCCAAAAAAGUAAACAGUAAGAAAUCUAACCAAAAAGGUAGUGAUUUGAAAGAAAAAUAUCUCCCAUUGGCUCAUGUGUUUGAACACUUGGUCCCUAGCUGGCGGUGUUUGGAGAUGCUGUGAACUUUGAUGGAGGAAAUAUGUCAUUGGGGCAGCUUUUGAGAAUUUAUAGCUUUUCCUCACUUCCAUGAGUUCCUUCUGUUUCUGUGUGUGUUCUCCCAGCUUCCUGAUCCGCUGCAUGUUAGUUACCAUGCCUCCCACUGUAACGGACACUAGCCCUCUGCAACUGUGAGCCACACUAAACUUCCUCUCUCAAGCUGUCUUCAGUCAUGGUCAUUUAUCACAAGAGAGAAAUCACUGCUGCAGAGGGAAAGACUUCUACACCUAAAACUGAAGGAGGAAGUGAAGAAGAUCCUAGAACAUGGAAAACUGUCCAUGGUCAUGGAUCAGCAGAAGUGAUACUGUGGAAAUGGCGACUCCCCAAAAGUUAUCUGUAGAUUCAACAUAAUCUGCGCCAAGAUUCCAAUGACAUUCUUUAAAGAACCAGAAAAAAUAAAACCACCCUAAAAUUUAUAUAGAAGCACAAAGGACCCAGAAUAGCCAAAGCAGACUUUGUUUGUUUGAGACAGUCUCAUUAUGUAGACCAGGCUGGAAUGCAGCUCACUGUGUAGACCAGGCUGGCCUCUGCAUACUGAGUACUUGGAUUAAAGGUGGACAGCACCACACCCAGCAUCCAAAGUCAUCUUAAUCAGAAAGAGCAAUACUAGAAAUAUCACACUACUACAUUAUACUAUGUAGCCAUAGUAACAAACACAUGACACGAAACCAUCUGACGUGUAGAUCAAUGGAAUACAACAGAGGAGGCAGACAGAAACCCAUCAGUAACGGAAAGACAGAAUGAGAAUACAAUCUUUGCCUAUUAUAUUCAGAUAGGGGACUAAUAGGAGGUAUAAAGAACUACAAAAUUUAAAUAUGAAAGGGAUGGGAUGAGCGGGGCAGUAGUAGCACUCACCUUUUGUCCUAGCACUUGGGAGGCAGAGACAGGUGGAUAUCUAAGUUCAAGGUCAGCCUAGCCUACAGAGUGCACUCCAGGACAGUUAAAACCCUGUCUCAAAAUACAAAACAAAACAAAAAAUUUAAAAAAGAAAGGGAAGGGAUAUAGCUUAGUUGUCAGAGUGUUUGCCUAGCCUGCACGAAGCACGUUAAAAUUGAACGUGGUGGCACUCUAAUACCAGCACUUGGAAGAAGAGGAUCAGAAAUCCAUGACUAUUAUUGGAAUACAAAGCAAGUUUAAGCCUAGCUUGGGCUACCUGAGACUGUCUCAAUAACAACAACAGCAGCAACAAGCAAACAAACAAACAAACCACAUUAUCAAACAACUGAAAUUAUACAACCAAUAAAUAGGUAAUAAAUUGAACAGGUAGGAAGAAAUUCAUGUGUCAAAAGCAAAUAAAAAACACCUCAAAUUAAAACUGCCUUGAGAUUCUGUGUCACCCCGAUCAGAAUGAAUAUCAUUAAGAAAACAAAUUAAAUUUACAAGUUCAAGGUCAGUCUGAUCUAUUAUACUCAAUUCCAGGCCAAUCAAGGCGACUUGGUGUGGAUCCUGUCUAAAAAAGAAAGAAAAUGAACAGCAACAAAGGCUGAGAACGUCAGAACAAAGCACUCUGCACUGUGGAUGGAAAUGUAAACAUGUAUGGCCACCACGGAAGCCGGUGUAGAGGGCCCUCAGAAAACUAGGAAGAGAACUACUCCACAACUGCUGUACUGUUUGAGGAUACCAAAAGGAUCCUAAGUCCACAUGAUACAGAGAUAUAGUCAUAGCCAUGCUUACACCAGUACCCUUCAUACCGGCCAAAAAGUGGAAUGAAGUCUAGAUGCCCACUAACUGAUAAGUGGAUAAAGAAAAUGGAGUACAUAAAUACAAUGGAAUUUUUUACAGGUGGGUUUUUUUUUUUUUUCGUAUAGGUGUUUUGCUUAUGUGCAUGUUUGUACACCACAAGGAAGCCAGAAAAGGGUGUCAGAUCCCUGGAACUAGAGUUUACAUAGACAGUUGUGAUCUGCCAUGUGGGUGCCGGGAACUGGGGAACUGAACUCAGAUCUUCUUCAAGAGGUACUAGUGCUCAUAACUGCUGAGCCAUCUCUACAAGCCCCAAUGCAAUGGAAUUUUAUUCAGCUAUACAGAAAAACUGAAAUUGUGACAUUUGUAGGAAAAUAGAUACAACUGUAGAUCAUUAUGUUAAACAGAAAAAUAUAGACAAAUACCAUACUUUUACUAUGCAGAAUCUAGAUUUAAAUUAAUGUGUUUCUUCUAUAUGUGGAUCCUAAGAGAGCUUACAGAAGGGGAACAAAGAAAAGAUGAUGGAAUACUUAUGACAUGAAAGCAGAGGGGUGACUCAGGGAUGGUGACCAGCAAGAGGAAGUGGGGUCGGGGUGGGUGGGGGGCUAGUAAGGCGGGGAAGGAUCAAACAGUACAAAGACAGUACAAUGAUGUAUAUGUAUGAAAACAUAUAAGGGGUUUCAUCAUGAAACCCUUUAAUUUACAGGCUAAUUUAUUUUUAAAAAGCAAUUAAGAAUUGAAAAUUACCCAAUGUGUCAUAAAACAAUGUCUGAGAAAAACAACAACAACAAAAAGGAAUAUGCUUACCUGAUGGUGUUUAAGGUCUAAAAGGUGUUGGAGGGAGGGGCAGGGGGAUUACUCACAAUCUUUCUUUGCCCCCAAAGGGCCCAUCACCACAGAAAUAAUCAAUAUGAGAACAGUUGGGAGAACUGUUUUUGUUUUUGUUUUUUUCCUUUUUCAAAUAGCAUAUGCUUUUAUCUUGGUGUGUGUGUGUAGACCGAGUCUCUUCAUGUGGCCCUAGCUGGCCUAGAAUGUUCUGUAGAGCAAGCUGCCUUGGAAUCACAGAGCUCUGUCUCCUAGGCACUAGAACUAGUCAUGUACCACUAUGCUAACUGCUUUCAUCUUUUGAUUGAGCUAAGACAAUGAACCAAGGGGUGGAAGAAAGGUUGCUUAGAAGGACACAGGCUAAUCAUUCAAUAUUGGGAGUGGGGAAACCUAGUUCAUCGUCUGUCCGCUGUGGACAAGUAAGCCUCCCAGAGCUGUAACAGCUUGGCAGGGAGGCUACCUUUAAACCCCGUGACAUGCACUGCUAACUCAUGGUUUCCUUCCUUGUGGGUUUUUUAAUGUGGCAGUUUCAUUAACUUAGCCCUCAGUGUAAUUAAAAUUAUGUCUAUACAUCUAAGACAACUAGUGGGUAAACGUUUUUGUCAAUAUGCCAGAUGACCUGAGUUCUAUCUCCAGGACCCAUAGGAUAGGAAGAGAGAACUAACUCCCUAACUUUAGCCUUUGGAUGAAAACACACACAAAUAAAGUAAAUAUUAAAACAUAAAGCAAACCAAAACAAAAAAACAAAAACCUAUUUUGGGGCUGGAGAGAUGGUUUGGUGGUUAAGAGCACUGACUGCUCUUCUAGAUGAGCUGGGUUUGAGCCUCAGCACCCAGUGGAAGCUUACACCCCUUUGUAAGUCUAGCUCCAAGGGAUCCAAUACCCUUUUCUGGCCACUGUGUGCACGAACACACAAGGUGCACAGACAUACAUGUAGGCAAAACACCCACCCACACAAAAUAAAUAUGUAAAGAUAAAAAAGAAUUGAUCAUUCUACUUUUACAUCAUUGUUUGU